GACGAACCGUGCGAACGUUGUUCGGAAUCACUGGGCUUAAAGGGCGCGUAGGCGGCUUGUCAAGUCGGGGGUGAAAUCCGGCAGCUUAACUGUCGAAGUGCCUUCGAUACUGGCAAGCUCGAGGGAGGUAGGGGUCUGUGGAACUUCUGGUGGAGCGGUGAAAUGCGUUGAUAUCAGAAGGAACGCCGGUGGCGAAAGCGACGGACUGGAUCUCUUCUGACGCUGAGGCGCGAAAGCUAGGGGAGCAAACGGG
rnacentral:rRNA from 1 species